UACGUAGGGGGCAAGCGUUGUCCGGAAUCAUUGGGCGUAAAGAGCGUGUAGGCGGCCCGGUAAGUCCGCUGUGAAAGUCGGGGGCUCAACCCUCGGAAGCCGGUGGAUACUGUCGGGCUCGAGUACGGAAGAGGCGAGUGGAAUUCCUGGUGUAGCGGUGAAAUGCGCAGAUAUCAGGAGGAACACCGGUGGCGAAGGCGGAUCUCUGGGCCUUACCUGACGCUCAGGCGCGAAAGCUAGGGGAGCGAACUG
rnacentral:rRNA from 1 species